CUUUUCCAAGAUCGUAAAUCUUUACGAAGUCUACGGUGACCAGAGCAAGUUGAGUUUGAGAUCCAGGUAGCCAAAUUGCUUUUAUAAUAAAAUUUCCAGUUUCCAAUUGAGGAUACAGAACCAAAUGAUCUGACACGGUUCCAGAAGUAUUAAAAUUACAGAUAAUACGGUAAAGGGUACCGGAGCAGAAGCAAGUCUCGUUAAUGUUAAUUUUCUUUUCGACGAAUCAGGUUGUUUUAACAAUGCGCCCAAUUGUAACACUGUUAUCUU
rnacentral:misc_RNA from 1 species